UCCGUGGGAGCUGUGCACAGCUCGCCUCCUCUAACCCAUCACCCCGUACAGCUGGCCGGUCGCUCUCCGAUCUCCUGCACCCUUGGCGCUAGGAGGGGGCGGAGGCCGUUACCCCUCCCGCCCUCCAGUCCCUUCAUCGCACCGGGGAGGAAGUUCUGGUGGGCGACCGUCUCUCCGCAACUCCCAGGCCAAAUCGGGUCCAAAGCCCUGAGAAGGUUUUGGGAGGUGUCGCUUCUUGGCUUGCUUGUUUGUAUUUACGUGGGAGUUUUUACAGCCGUGAACGUUCUGUGGUCUUGUACAGGGCUGCAAGUCUGGAGGGGUAAAGAUUAGGAGUUUUUGAAACAUGAGAGAUUUGGGACAGAUUUGGGACCAGAAUUUGAAGGAAAGAGGCCGAGCUAUUUUCUGGCGAAGACUUGUAUGUGCCAGUACUUUUGUCCUCAUCUGAAACUCUUGGAAGGCUCCCUAGCUCCCGGUUUCAUUGUAAUCUGUCCGGUUUAGUGCAUCUCAACUGUGAUGUGAUUGACUUACCAUUUAUCACGUGAGCAGGGCAUUUCUGGGCCACCCAACUUCAGCUCUAUAAAGCGCAUCCAUAAGGAUGUUACUCACCUUCAGAGAUGUGCAGCUCAGAACUUUAUCUCGUUAUUCCCUUAAAGAGAGGAAAGGUUGUUACAAAUGAUAGAAUUCAUACCAUGUGUUGGGAUCAUUUAUUACAUAAACUUGAUAGAAAACGUGUUCAUCUUAAACUGAUGUUUCAAUAUAAUGGACUGUGCCAGAUUCACAUGGAAACAAGCAUUCAUCUGCAUAUACAAGAAUAACUGCAUCAAAACAGAAUUUGCUUUUGUUCUAUCAAAGGUCUCUUUCCCCAGGGUUAAAAUUAGGUCCUGCUUAUUUAGAAUUGGACUAAUUAUACUAAGGUAUAUAUUACCUUUUAAUUCAUUUUUUCAUUUUUCAAUCAUAUUCCUCUUGAUUUCUUGGAAAACAUUUACUAAGGCUCCAGAAAAGAAAGAUAAACUAUAUUGGAAUUUUUCGUUCUCUAAUAAAAAACAUUAACUUGAUUGAUUGGCUGGGUGUGAAGAUGUGUUACUGCAUGUAUGUGACUCUGUGCAUGUACAUUUUAAAAUAAAUGGUAUUUCAAACCAGUUCCAUAUUUCAGCAAGUACUUCCAGUAACAAUUAUACAGAUUUUGUAUUUAUGAAAACCAGCUACAAGGAGGCCAGCCUAGCCAGUAGAAAGUUGGAUUGAUUACCUAGGCUACAGAGAGUGCCAGAAAAAUCUCAUAUGGUGUGGCAGUUCCAAGUUGGUAGUGCUGGAGCCUCAAAUCAGGCUCAAAAUCAAUACCAAAUGGAUUUAUAAAAUUUUAGGCUGGGGUAUGUAUAUUCUCCAUUGUUCUGGAUCCUGAAUGACUGAAUUUACUAUGAGAGAACACUUAUUG
rnacentral:lncRNA from 1 species